rnacentral:rRNA from 1 species
UUUUAUUUAAUGGCCGCGGUAUUUUGACCGUGCAAAGGUAGCAUAAUCAUUAGUCCAUUAAUUGUGGUCUUGUAUGAAUGGUUGGACGAGAUAUUAUCUGUCUCAGUAUUUAUUUUUAUAAAAUUUAAAUUUUAAGUCAAAAUGCUUAAAUUUUUUUAUAGGACGAGAAGACCCUUUAGAUCUUUAUUUAUUUUGUUAUUUGUUUUAUUUAGUUUUAUUUUUUUAGAUAAUUAUUUAUUUUUUGUUGGGGUGACAUGGUGAUAUUAUUAACUCAUUAUAUUUUUAUACAAUUAUUUUUGUUUAUUUGACCUUUUAUUAAUGUUAUAAGAUUUAGAUACCUAAGGGAUAACAGCGUAAUUCUUUUUGAGAGUUCAAAUCGACAAGGGAGAUUGCGACCUCGAUGUUGGAUUAAGAUUAUAAUUGGGUGUAGGUGCUUAAUUAUUAGGUCUGUUCGACCUUUAAAUUCUUACAUGAUCUGAGUUA